CGUCCUAUAACCGUCUUCACUAAUCGCGGAGGAUCCCUCUUUUCCUCUUUUAGCUCCCCUUCUUGAUACCUUAAAAGUAUUGAGGGAGCAAGGGAGUAGAGACAAAAGAAGGGAGAAAGAAAAAAGGACAAAGGUAAGAAGAAUACAGAGUCUGGCAGUCUCACUGGAAAAAAAGGAACUCACAUCAUGACCAUUAGAUAUUCACAGACUAUUCAAAGUUAUUACACAAUAUGCAAAUGAAUGUCACCCUUCUUUCGUAAAAAUCACUAACUGAAAGAUUGCUGAGCGUAAAUGUUUCGCAGCUUGCGGAAAUGCACUGCGCUUUUAGGUACAUCCUAUACGCAGAAGGAAGCUUUAAGAAAUAACUGGCUCUGUGGCUGAGCAAAAACAAAGUCUGACUACAGCCAAACGGGGAAAGGAAGCUAAAUGACAGGACAACUAGCUACUUCCAGAUGGCUCCUGAACCCAUGCGGUCGUUCCUUUUGUAUCGUGCACUUUAUGAUGGAGAAGAAUUCUUUUUGAUUUACACUUAAAAUCCAGACACUCUUGAAGGAAACUAAAUGUGAGGAAGAGACUAGGAAAUAGGAAAGGAAGAAGUUAAAUCAUCAUUAUUUACAGAUGAGAGAAACUUGCUCAGACUAUUAGAAGUGCAAUCAAGUGCCUUACAACCUAUUCUAAAUUAGAAAACAGCUAAGAAUAUCUUCCUGUCAGAAUUCCUCUGGAGUACAGCGCUCAGUUCUUAAUGCUGUCAGUGUUUAAGAACACCAAAAUACAUUAAUAUAUUCAGAGGUAAGUGGUCAGGUGAAAGGUCAUUUGAAACUAUGGCAAGAU
rnacentral:lncRNA from 1 species